GCUCUUGCUUGCUUGCACUGAUGAAGUAAGCUGCCACGUUGUGAGAUGCUCAACGAAGAGGCCCAUGAGGCAGGGCACCGAGGGAGGCUUCUGGCCAACAGCUCCUGGGGAACUAAGGCCUUAGGAAGUGAGUCCUGCCAACAAUAAUGAGAGCCUUGAACUUUGAAACCACAGUGCCUUGUUCCAGCGUGGAAAGCAGCGUGGCACUUCCCGGUGGUGAAAGCACCCCAGCUCGAAAGGGUAAAAACACCUUCUCCCAGAUAGUGUCCCUUUGUUUAGCCAGUGCUUUUUGCCAGUGGUCACCUUAAGGAAAUCAAAUGAAGGUAUGCUCCUUGGUUGGCUGCAUGAAUCUGUCCUUCCUUGUCAGCUUUGCCCAGAGCAGCAGGCUUUGAGCUCUGGGAGGAUUUCCAGGUGGCAGCAGAACAACGGUCCCAUAGGCUGGAGCCUGGCACGCUUUCCCUUUUACCCAGUGGCAGAGGCUGCACUUUGCUGGUGUAAUUAUGCAACCUAGUGUAAAGUCCACAUGGGUGGGGAUAGGGGGUAGGCAAGGCAGGACUGUAAGCUGGCUCAGCACUCUGAUUGGGUUUUUUGACUGUUUUUCUAGCUU
rnacentral:sRNA from 1 species